GUGAAUUUGAGUAUUCUGUCAUAAAAUCUCAGGGUGCCUUGAGAUGUGGCAUUGAUGUUAGCAAACUUACAAUUCAGGUUCAAAUGGUAUGUAUGCAAUGGAUUCUGGAAGCUAAAGGUGGAUUGUAGUGGCCAUUUGGUUUCACAUUAACUGAUACGUUUCAUCAGUUCAGAUACAUUUUAUAUAUAUGACUUUCAGAUAUAUUUUAACAGUUUCUUUCUAGUGACAGAAGCCUCUUUCAGGCCAGUGGAGACUUACAUGAAUGGAAGGAGGGGGUGCAAGGUUCACAAAUUCCCCCUUUCCAGUAGCCUCUGUUCCAUCAGCAAAAUUAUUCCCAAGCCCUCUGGAGCAAGUUUGAGAGGCUAAAGAAGGAAUAACCUGAAAUUUUCUUACUCUUUCUAUUCAUGAAAGCUUCUAUACAGGAACCUUUCAUCAGCAAAGGGACACAAUUGGGUAUAAUUCAUCUGAAAUAAGAUAAGGUUAAUAAUGCUGAGGUUUUUUAUUCUCUGAAUACAUU